rnacentral:rRNA from 1 species
GACAUAGGUGGCAAACGUUUAUCCGGAAUUAUUGGGCGUAAAGAGCUUGUAGGCGGUUUGUCGCGUCUGCUGUGAAAUUUCGGGGCUCAACCCCGAACUUGCAGUGGGUACGGGCAGACUAGAGUGUGGUAGGGGAGACUGGAAUUCCUGGUGUAGCGGUGAAAUGCGCAGAUAUCAGGAGGAACACCGAUGGCGAAGGCAGGUCUCUGGGCCACUACUGACGCUGAGAAGCGAAAGCAUGGGGAGCGAACGGGG